AUGCAUUUGGUUGAAGAAUGGUUCUGUUGGCAAUUGGCUUAUCCCCUUACUAAUAACCAGAUCUCGAGUACUAUGCUCACUGAAGCCCUGUCUCAGUUUAGUACAGGCGCUAGUUGUGGCUCUGGCACUGGUACAAAUGGGACCAAAGAUGUAAAUAUCACUACAUUUCUGAUGCUGAUGGAGGGGCUCCGACCCUCAAAUUCACGCUUUAGUCAAGAGAACUCCACUGCUCGACAAGUCUUGCCUUAUUGUGCACCCAAUCGAGGCUAUCCUCCUCAUUGGACGCCUUGCCAGAGUCCGGACCACAAACUUAAACAGAUAGCUCCAGGUUUUGAAUUUACUCCCCCUCUUGGCAAGUACCAGUAUAACCUAACUCAGGGAGGUUCCCAAAGAACAGGCAGUAAAAAUACCUGGCCAUGGUUUCAAUGGGUACUCUCCAACGAGCGUGGAGCAUUUACUUCUCUUGAACCUUUUGCGGUUCUCCAGAAUCUCUGCAUAAGACUUCUUAAUGUUUCUGGUACAAGGGAUGAGAAGGGACCUUCUCUUAAGAAUCUAUCAAUACAUAAAACUUUGAAUAAUCUCACUGUUCCAGCUAGCCCAGUAUGUUUGAAAGCUCCUUUUUUCUUUCUGCUCUCUAAUGCUACUGAUGCUACCAAAGAAGUGAUCUCAUGCAAUUCGACUAAUGUCUCCUGCAUUGCUAGUCAAUGUUGGAAUGGUUCUGCUAAUAUAGCAGUAGUGAUGAGGAUUCCUAUGUAUGUUCCUAUUCCGGUCAAAGUGGAUACAGGAAUGUUUCCCAUUACGGAAAUCAUCAGAACCAAACGGGAUUUUGGCAUAACUGCAGCAUUGGUUACUGCCAUUACCCUUUCUGCAGCAGCGGCUACGACUGCCGCCGUUGCCAUGGCUGCUCAGGUCCAAUCAGCUGAGACAGUCAAUGACAUUGUGGAAAAAACAGCUACAACAUUAACUACCUUGAGAUCUAUUGAUGGCCACUUAAAAGCUGGCAUUCUAACUGUGAACCAAAGAGUGGACCUGUUGCAGGAACAGGUGGAUGAUUUAGUAACCUUAACUUCCAUAGGAUGCAUUCAUUCCUUUUCUUCUUUGUGUAUCACCUCCAGGAUGGCCAACAAUUUCACGGAGAACAGCAACCUGAGUUGGAAGCUGAAUGCCUACCUUCAGGGAAAUUGGAGUCAACAGUUCAGAGAACCUGACAGACACCCUGACACAACAGAUUAUUGCGGUGAAUGCUACACGCCUGAGCCUGCCCACUGUUAA
rnacentral:lncRNA from 1 species